AUUAAUAACUAGUUGGACUUUAAAUCAUCGGUCCAAAAUACUUAAGUUCAGCUAUUAAUUCUAGCUGGUGUAUCUGUCACAUACACAUCUCUUACAUUCUCCCACAUUAUCUGAUAUCAGAUUAUUGAAGUACCUCGUACAUUUCUUCUUUUAGACUCUGACAUCAUCGCCAGUCUAAUUCACACAUAAUCCAAAAUCAUCGGCCAUAGUAAAGUCUAUCUUACACUUUUCGCUAGUGAGUCAAUUUUGAAACUUACUGUAACGAUUCAGCCCACUAAAAUUAUUAACUAGACUUGAGCAUUAUAGACCGGUAGUUUGAGCCGAAUAAAUUACUAUCGUUAGCAGACUAAGUCAUU
rnacentral:lncRNA from 1 species